UUCAGAGUUAGGUGGAAGGGAAUCCCACUGGCUGCGAGGUGCAAUGUCUGAAACUGUGGAGGAAGGAGCGAAUUCCUCUCGUGAGGGCCGUCCCCUCCUCUUGGAAGAACAGAGCUGACCUGCAGACCAAGGGGGCACAGUCUGGUGUAGACUGGAAAGCAGCCCAAGUGAGGUGAGCGAGACCCAGGGCAGUCAAGUGACUUUCUCAAGAUCAAGUAAUGCAGCUGGAUUUGGACCCUAGUCAGUCUGGCUCCAAAAACCUCACAGAGGGCUACUGGAGGAAGACUGGACGUUUCCUGGACUGCAGGGAAUCUCAGUGCCAGUCCGGGUACCUCGUAGGAGGAGAGGAAAUCCUGCUCUGGAGCAAAUGAGUGAGGACAGCUGCCUAGUGUGAGUGAAGCCCUUUCGGUUUGAAAUGCUCCACAGUCAGCGCCAGAACCAAGGGGUGGGAGGCAGGCCGGCUCCGUGUUUGCUCCGAGGGGUCCACCUACUGGGAAAAGGCAGGUAAGUCAAACAAGCCUGUUUGUUCUCCCAGCACAGCAAACAAAACACAAGACUAAUUCUCCUCCAAGGCCUCCCUGCUGGACCCAAGAGGUAUGAUUAAAGUAAUGGGAAGACAAAUAUUUUCCUGGAGAAAAUGAUAAAACUUGAGGCAGGGAAAGCAAACAGCGUCGUCAAAGGGCAGCUGUGGAACUGGUGUGGAGCUGCCCCAGAAGCAGUCAGAAGAUUCUGGGAGGGGAGAAAGACCCACGGGCUCUCAGCCUGGAGGGGUGGGCUGAGGGAAGCAAGGGCUUUGUUCAAGGCAGCCUGAGCGUUUCAAAUGCAGUGAGAAACUGUUAUUAUUCUCCUCUGCCUUGGGAUCUUCAUCAUCAUUAUUGAGGUGGACAGAAU